rnacentral:rRNA from 1 species
AGAAUCAACGCUGGCGGCGUGCCUAACACAUGCAAGUCGAGCGAGAAAAAGGGGGGCAACUCCCUGAGUAGAGCGGCGAACGGGUGAGUAACGCGUGGGUGAUCUACCUCCGAGUGGGGAAUAACAUCGGGAAACUGGUGCUAAUACCGCAUAACAUCCCUGGGUCGUACCAGGGAUCAAAGCCGGGGACCGAAAGGCCUGGCGCUUGAAGAGGAGCCCGCGUCCGAUUAGCUAGUUGGCGGGGUAAUGGCCCACCAAGGCGACGAUCGGUA